ACAUCAUGCAGAUAUCUGCAAGAAUAACCACUGGUGCAGUAAGAAUCUUUUUGUCCUAUACAUGAGUAGAAAAAAAUCAUGUACGUUAUAGCGAGAAAGUCACUUAUAUAAGGCAGGAAAAUACAUAAAAGAAAAAAAGGCAACACUUGGAAGUGUCUUACAUCUCUCAAAGAUGUAAGGAAUCCUCAUCACUAAUAUCACAUAGGAAGCCCAUUUAAAAAAUGCAACACUUAGUAAAGUACUCUGAUGCAGGCCGACAUUUAAUUAUUCUAGAAAUAUAGAAAUUUUGGUUUCUUAUUUUGAAAUUAGUAUUUUAUUAGCAAUCUUUCCUUUUUAGCAUAAAUUGCCAAGAACUAGGUUUUAUUAAUUAGGUUGAUUCUAUUUCCCUUUUAAUUUUUUCCUUGUUCUCCAAGACAUAGAUUCUCUAGUUCAUACUUGUUCGUAGUUACUUUGUGCAAAAAGUUUCGUUUGUCAUACGCUUCCCUGCAUCAAACUCCCAGUCUUCAAUUACAAAUAAGAUGUCAGAGAUCUUCUCGAUAGUUGGGACCACAACACUAGAACCAGUAUACAUGUUGCAAACGUUAUUCUCUGUUGUGAAAUCAAAACUUCAAAAAUCCUUUGACUUGUAACAAUUAAAUCUUUUCUGUACUAGAUGACAUCACCAAAGUCAAUCAUAUUAUCAACAUAAGGAAAGGGAGAAUGGACUUGGAGAAGAGAAGUGAGAGUAAAAUCACAAGCAUUUCUCUUAUCUUAAAAAUUGCUCAAAACAGACAAUAUCAUACUGCAAAUCCAUCCUUGUACAAACAACAUGCAUGUUACUGCAACAUCACAUCUGAGGUAGAAAGCUUCUGUAGUCCUCCACAUUACCCAACUAUUGGUUUCUCUUUCUUUUUUCACCCGGGGUAUCCAACUCUUGUUAGCCCUAGAAGUUAAGAAAUCACCAUCCCACGGAGUCAUCGAAGUGUUUUCCGCAAAACAUCAUUGAGCAAGAGGAGACAUCAUAACUCUUUUCCCUAUCGAAAUUAGCAAUAGCACCAAAAGGCCUAUCGACUGUUUCCAAUCAAAUCAACAAUAUAUUUGAACAAUAAAAGUUCCACUGAGCUCCUGUUUGACUGGUAAUGAAAACACCUGUGAAACCAUGGAAGGAAACUAUAUUUCUUGGUUGUGUCCUCGUCAUUUCUAUUCUAAGAAUACCAGCUUCUUCAAUGUUCAAAUUACUGGUCGAAGAUGUGGACUCAUGGCAAGUGUUACACUGCUCUUGUAUUUUCCGUAUAGUACUUGUGUCCUACAGAUAUGGCAUCGAUGUUGGAUGUGUCUCAACAUUAGAUCCUUGGAUCGUCUAAUUUCUAAGAUGUUCUGGAUAAAAAGAAGCUCACAUUUGCUAAAAAAUAAAUAAUUCUACUCGUGCACAUGAAAGAAAUAUAGCAACUUGAUACCUUUUCUUAAUCUCAUUUGAUAUCACGUACAAUUCUAGCUAAGUUGGAACCAACGCAAUGACAUACAAUACCAAUAUGUGUUCAGGGUAUGUCCCCAAUUGCCAUAUUCACACCCAACUUUUGAAAACACGUCACUUUACCACAAUUUCUUAAGAUUUAACUUCAGUCAGAUCUGACGCUUGGACACAAGCCAGCACUUGAUACUCCUAACUGACCCUACUUAACAGCGACAAUGGCUCAUUCCACAUUCUUUGUUUUAAAAAUGAUCAUACCCCGAAAUACUGAAUAUAAUGAAUAAAGAUUUACAUCCAAACUUGAAAACAAGAAGAAACAAAUGAAAAAUAAAGAA